UUUAGGCUUAGGCUUAGGCUUAGGCUUAGGCUUAGGCGUAGGCGUAGGUUUCGGCUUAGGCU
rnacentral:sRNA from 1 species